AUAUAAUUAAAGCUCUUCCUCACUCGCUAAAAGUUGUUGAUCUUUCUGCGUUUCAGGACUUCCGACUUCGAGAUAUUGCUGAGUAUGAGUAAUGGUAUGGUCAGCCUCAUAGAGCACCGGAAUUACAGAAAGAAGUCGUAUAUGGUUUAACAGAAAUAUUAAGGCAAGAAAUUCAGAAUGCUCGGCUAGUUCCCAACCCGGGUUGUUACCCAACAACGAUUCAACUGCCUUUUGUUCCCCUGUUAAAGGUUAGUUUUUCCUAUUUAUGCUUCUAAUGAUUUACUUUUACCUUUUUAAGAGUUUGGUUCCUGUAUAUAUUUGUAGAUUGUAAGUGAGAUUUAAGUAAUAAGGGACUUUGAGUUGUAAUUUUGUGUAACAUUACUUAUGUAUUUCAGCUUCAGGCUAUUAAUUUAGAUGUCGAAGAUUGACAUGUUUUGAAAUAGUAUGCAGCAUGUUUGCAUCUAGG